CCUACGGGAGGCAGCAGUAGGGAAUUUUCCACAAUGGGCGAAAGCCUGAUGGAGCAAUACCGCGUGCAGGAUGAAGGCCUUCGGGUCGUAAACUGCUUUUAUGUGCGAAGAAUUUGACGGUAACACAUGAAUAAGGAUCGGCUAACUACGUGCCAGCAGCCGCGGUCAUACGUAGGAUCCAAGCGUUAUCCGGAAUUACUGGGCGUAAAGAGUUGCGUAGGUGGCAUUAUAAGUGGAGCGUGAAAGCGUGCGGCUCAACCGCAUUAUUGCGUUCCAAACUGUGAAGCUUGAGUAUGGGAGAGGUAGAUGGAAUUUCUAGUGUAGGAGUGAAAUCCGUAGAUAUUAGAAGGAACACCGAUGGCGUAGGCAGUCUACUGGCCCAUUACUGACACUAAGGCACGAAAGCGUGGGGAGCAAACGGGAUUAGAUACCCCGGUAGUCCACGCUGUAAACUAUGGAUGCUAGCUGUGACACACAUCGACCUGUGUCGUAGCGAAGUUAACGCGUUAAGCAUCCCGCCUGGGGGAGGUACGGUCGCGAGAGUAACUAACAAGAAGUAGAGCGNGAGAGUAGCGACGACGACGACGAGGGAGGAGG
rnacentral:rRNA from 1 species